UCUCCUAACUCAUCUCGUCUCCACAUACAUGCGGCGGCCGACUCUCCAAGGACCCAUGGCAUGCGUCGCCUUGGCCACCAUAUAUUGGUGUCGUCCCACUCUAGCCGACGCCCUGCAAGGCACGGGAAGCUCAUCCAAUGCAAACCCCAAAUGAUGCAAGGUUCCUCCACUCCCUCUCCUCGACCGAUAAGGCCAUACCUUUCCCACGACGCCGCCGUGGUUGACCCCUAAAAUUGACCACCAUCCACGGUGACCAAAACAGCCAAAAUUGAACCAAAACCCAGCCAAAAUAGUCCCCCCGACGGCCCGUAGCCACCCUAAACGACAACUCUAAAGGAGGCUAAAACACCUAAACCAAACGGUCGAAAGACACAAACCCAUGGCCAACGACCACGAGUGGUGGCGCCACGACCCAAACCGACCCUCAAUCUCCCUCCAUGAUGACACCUCUAGCCUCGACAAAGCACGGAAGCCGUGAGAUGAGUACUAAAUCUCUACCUUUUUAUUUUAUUUUUUUAGGUUAAAGAUACAUGCAUGCAAAAAAUGAAAAAGGAAGAGACAAAUGCUUGAUACUAUUAAGUUUGGAACUUUUCGGUUUCCAUUCUUUUUUUGAUUCCCAAUAUUGAUGUUUUACAUUGUUUAAUUUUCGGGUUAUAUAUACCUAUUACAUUGUCAAGAUAAAAAAUUGUUUUGUUUGCAUAUUUGGUUGGUGCAGUUGGUGGUGGCGUGACUUGCAAGAGAUGGUGGCAGCGUGAGCCCGGGAUGGUGCUGCCUUGCUGUUGCAGCAGGGCAUAGUGUGGCAGGGUAUGAUGACGGUGGCAGGCAUGGAGUGUUGGACAGCUGCAGUGGGUGGAAAACCCACUGGGUUUUGGACUCCAACCGGUUGGCUUCGUUCCUGUUGGGCCCGAACCGUUUGGAACCCAUGACGUUGUUGUUCUAAAACAAAACAAGGAUGAUUUAGGCUCUCCUUCUGAAUUUAUUUCAUAUUGGAAAAUGAGGUGACAUAUCGUAGGAUAAAAGAUGCCUUGAAAACAUUGAGUAAAGGUGUGCUGAAGGGUCCUGCUACAGAUCUAGCUCCUGUAUUGUUCGGAGACAGACAGCCAACAGUAUCAAAGAAGGGCACUGUCACAUUCACAAGUAAUGGAGCUGUGUGAUUUAACAAGUAGGUUGCAUCCAAGAAGAAAAUCAGCUGAUGAAGCUGGAGUAGUUUUACAAGCAAAAAUGAAAGUCAUCUCCUAAGUGA